rnacentral:piRNA from 1 species
GAAAAAAUGGCCCCAAGAGU